AGUGGGUGUAACGUACCUACUAGCCUACGACGGGUACGGGUUGUGAGAGCAAGAGCCCGGAGAUGGAUUCUGAGACAUGAAUCCAGGCCCUACGGGGCGCAGCAGGCGCGAAAACUUUACAAUGCGGGAAACCGCGAUAAGGGGACACUGAGUGCCAGCACCAUGUGUUGGCUGUCCGCAUGUAUAAAUCACAUGUGUCAGCAAGGGCCGGGCAAGACCGGUGCCAGCCGCCGCGGUAACACCGGCGGCCCGAGUGGUGGCCAUUAUUAUUGGGUCUAAAGGGUCCGUAGCCGGUUUGAUCAGUCUUCCGGGAAAUCUGACAGCUCAACUGUUAGGCUUCUGGGGGAUACUGUCAGACUUGGAACCGGGAGAGGUAAGAGGUACUACAGGGGUAGGAGUGAAAUCUUGUAAUCCUUGUGGGACCACCAGUGGCGAAGGCGUCUUACCAGAACGGGUUCGACGGUGAGGGACGAAAGCUGGGGGCACGAACCGGAUUAGAU
rnacentral:rRNA from 1 species